rnacentral:rRNA from 1 species
GAUGAACGCUGGCGGCGUGCCUAAUACAUGCAAGUCGAGCGAACAGACGAGGAGCUUGCUCCUCUGACGUUAGCGGCGGACGGGUGAGUAACACGUGGAUAACCUACCUAUAAGACUGGGAUAACUUCGGGAAACCGGAGCUAAUACCGGAUAAUAUAUUGAACCGCAUUGUUCAAUAGUGAAAGACGGUUUUGCUGUCACUUAUAGAUGGAUCCGCGCCGCAUUAGCUAGUUGGUAAGGUAACGGCUUACCAAGGCAACGAUGCGUAGCCGACCUGAGAGGGUGAUCGGCCACACUGGAACUGAGACACGGUCCAGACUCCUACGGGAGGCAGCAGUAGGGAAUCUUCCGCAAUGGGCGAAAGCCUGACGGAGCAACGCCGCGUGAGUGAUGAAGGUCUUCGGAUCGUAAAACUCUGUUAUUAGGGAAGAACAAAUGUGUAAGUAACUAUGCACGUAUUGACGGUACCGAAUCAGAAAGCCACGGCUAACUACGUG